GUGAGGGCAAUCUGGCCGCGACAUCUGUCACCCCAUUGAUUGCCAGAACUGAUUUGGCUGAUCGGGCUGGCUAGGCGGGUGUCCUCUCCCUCCCUCACAUGUGCGUCCCUCCCAAAGCUGUGCGCCCAGUGGAAGAGGACAGCUGUCCUCAAUAAAGGAGAACCGGUCUCCAGGCAAGGGUAUAGGAGUAGAUGCGCUCCCCUGCUAGGACCUCCAAACAAGCUCUCAAGACGACUUUUGAAUGCAUAGCUACAGAACUGAAGCUGCUAGAGCUGUAGAUGCUUUGGAGAAAAAUCCAAAUGUGGAGAUGGCAUCUUUU
rnacentral:snRNA from 1 species